rnacentral:miRNA from 12 species
CAGUCAGGACUAGCCUGCCAC